CUGUUAUAUAGUUUAUUUAUUAUGGUUAUUAUUUAUUACCUGUGUUCUCCUAACAGCAUAUGUACUGCACCGGACUGGAACUUUUUUUUUCAGUAGAGCAGGAUUCAAUGCAUAGUAAAUACUCAAUAGAUAACUGAUUGAAUCAGUGAUUCUGGCAAAGCUAAGUAUGUGUACACCGUAUGAGCUGGUUUAGAGGACAUCUGUAUUUUCUUGUAUGUUUGAAAUAUUCCUUUAGUAAAGCAAGCUGAAAUUUCCUAAGUAAAAAAAUAUUUUAAUGUUCAGAUCAUGAAGAAAAGGGAGACUGGCACUAUUUACUUUAUAUUCUAAAGGAACAGACCAACUUUACAUUAUUAAAAAAAGACAAUUUGUGUAUAUAUUUUCAUUGAGCAUACUUCAAAGUUAUUAUUAUCAUUGUUAUUUUUUAUCGAUGGAUUUGCUUCAAAAUAGUGCAGCAAAAAUCCAUAAGAAAUCUAAGCUAGAACAUAAAGAACAUUUGCAUAAAGUGUGCAUUUCUGCUUAAAUUCCUCCAGCUUUCAGUGUUUCUCCACUUAGUCAAUUGCUUGCCAUGAUAUUUGGAAAGUCUUUAUUAUGGAGAUCAGGGCAAAAGAAAUGAAUAUUUGGAAUAUAAUUUAAAGCAAUGAAAUGAAACAGUGGUUGUUGAAGAACACUAGCUUUAAUAAAAGGACUAAAAUAAAACCAAGACCCUGAAAGAUUCACCCUGGAGGAGGCAGUGGAUACCUCUCUGCCUUGGGGUUCUCUAAUCAAGCAGUGUUCUCCACUCACUCUGGCCCCCGCCAUGUGCUGAGCACCCCCACCCCGACCCCUUAUACAGCUGUCCAACAAUAGACACAUUCUUCCCCUUAGUUCAGCUGAGAUGAUUGGAGCUUUUAAAACUAAGAGAAAGAAAUGGAGAAAUAAGCGGAUCACGGAAGAGAUGGCUGGCACCAACAUCUUGCACAGGACGAAAUCAGGAAAUGAUGAAGAGAAAGAAACGGUUAUUGAAAGAGUGUGAAGGGUAGGUGAAAGAGAUGACUCACAAUUUCUACAAAGUAAUUAAUUAAUUAAUUAAUUCAAAUAUUCCCUGUCAGCCACUCUCACAUCUGAUUCUUUUUCUUUCCU
rnacentral:lncRNA from 1 species